CCUACGGGAGGCAGCAGUGGGGAAUAUUGCACAAUGGGGGAAACCCUGAUGCAGCGACGCCGCGUGAGUGAAGAAGUAAUUCGUUAUGUAAAGCCCUAUCAGCAGGGAAGAAAAUGACGGUACCUGAGUCAGAAGCCCCGGCUAACUACGUGCCAGCGGCCGUGGUAAUACGUAGGGGGCAAGCGUUAUCCGGAUUUACUGGGUGUAAAGGGGGCGUAGACGGGAGUGCAAGUCUGGAGGGAAAGGCGGGGGCUCAACCCCCGGACUGCUCUGGAAACUGUACGGCUUGAGUGCAGGAGAGGUAAGUGGAAUUCCUAGUGUAGCGGUGAAAUGCGUAGAUAUUAGGAAGAACACCAGUGGCGAAGGCGGCUUACUGGACUGUAACUGACGUUGAGGCUCGAAAGCGUGGGGAGCAAACAGGAUUAGAUACCCGAGUAGUC
rnacentral:rRNA from 1 species